rnacentral:rRNA from 1 species
UACGUAGGGGCCUAGCGUUGUCCGGAGUUAUUGGGCGUAAAGAGCUCGUAGGCGGUUCGGUAAGUCAGGUGUGAAAUCUCCACGCUCAACGUGGAGGCGCCACCUGAAACUGCCGUGACUCGAGUCCGGUAGGGGAGUGUGGAAUUCCUGGUGUAGCGGUGAAAUGCGCAGAUAUCAGGAGGAACACCGGUGGCGAAGGCGGUUCUCUGGGCAUUACCUGACGCUGAGGAGCGAAAGUGUGGGGAGCGAACAGG